UUUUAAAGGUCUUCUUUGUCUUGUACCUUAAGGUUUGUCCUUGCUGUCUCAUGAUUUGUGUCCUGAUUUUUUUUUAAAUCUUCCACACCUGAUGACCCACAGCGACUUUAGACCAACCACUAGACACAGAGACAACCACCUUCCAUUGCUUUUUCCACCAGUUUCCAUUUUUGUUGUCUCUGAUCAGUGACGUUUUCCUGAUCCUCCAUUCUUCCCCUUCCAGGCUUUUACAUUCCUAGCUUCUCCAACAACUCCGUUAGGUUUAAUUUCUACAAUAAAUCUCUUAUUCCAUACCUGUCAUACUGAUUGUGCUUCCCUGAUGGAGCCCUAUAUGAGGGAAUGUCUCUGAGUCUUUGCAUGUACUGCCUCCUCUAUCUGGAAUGUCUUUUUUCUUUUCUCUGUUGUGUUGUAAUUCAUACUUCAAGGUUGAGCACAGAUAUCACCUCUUUUAUUAGUGUGAUACUGUUCCUCUUAAGGGACACUGUUACUUCUUCCUCUGAAGUUCUACAAGGCUCUGAACAUACUUAUGUUAGAAACUUCUGCUGUCUUAUAAUAUCUUUAUUAGUCCGAUCGUAUUUUUAAAAGAACUCUUUAAAAAAUUCUUAAAUUUCUAUCCUUGAGAAAAAGCAGGUUUAAAUAGAGAAAAUAAAGAAGUAGCAUUGUACCCAGGGUUGUAGAGUGGCUCUCACACAGCUCUAGUGACUUCCUGGGGUUUGCCUAUUUUGUUGUUGCAGACGUCCCUGGAAUCCUUGCAUUUGGAGUUGUCCAGAAGUGGCAUUCCUGACCUUUGAUCCCCAGCCUUCCAACAGUGGUGUACAUCUUCAUUUCUCUAUGUUAAAGAUUUUCUUAUUAAAAAAUUGAGUGUGGUAGAGGACUGACUUGGUAAAGGAUGGGGGGACAUUAUGUAUUUUGGUUCAUUUAGCAGAUAUUUUUGAGCUCCUACUAACUGCUAGACAUGGUGCUAGAUCUUGCAUAAACAUGACGAACAAAGUAGCAAGGUACUUACUAGCCUCAUGGGGCUAGUGUGGAAGUGAGUUAAGCAAAUAAACUCAUAUGGGAUAUAUCUUUGUAAAGAGUGGCCAAUGCUUUGAAGGCAAAGAAGAGGGUGCAGUAGGAGAGCAUAGUGUGGGAGAUGGGCUUGACAUUAGUGGUCAAGGAAGGCCUCUCCAAGAAGUAACACUCUUAGGCUGGGACCGGCUGGAUGAGGAGACAGCUGAGCAGGGGAUGUGCUGGGGAGACUGAGGCAGAUGGAGUGAAGGGUUUAACCUGAGAAAAAACUGGCACAUUUGAGGAACCAAAAUAAGGUCACUGCAGCUGGAAUGUUGGAGUGAGUGGACUUUUUUCUUUUUUCUUUUCUUUUUUUUUUUUUUAGUGGCUUGCAAUAAAUCAAGGUAGUCAGGUGGUUGGGGAGGGGAGUUGGGGAGAAGAGGCAAGUCAUAGGUAGCUCGAAGCUAGAUUAAGAAGCACAGAUUUAUAUAUUAAAAAUCCGACUCUUUCUCGAACAUAAUUUUCCCCCUCAUGUAAAUUUUGUUUGUGUUACUAUCUGUCAUUUGAUCAAGGAAAAUAGUUAAAUACUUUCUGUAGGUAAGUAUUCAAAGAUUAUCUGAAGUCAAAAUGCUUUCUCUGAUUAAUCUUGUUCUGUUAUCUGAUUGUAGCAGAACAUUUUGUGUUGCACAGUUAUUUGCAUGCUAGUCACCUUUGGACUGGGUUAUUUAAUAUUCACAGAAACGAAUGCAGGACAGUUUGUGUGCUUGAAAAAAGCACAUGGAGUUCCCCUGGAUUUCCUGGUCAUGAGGAGUGGGUAGCAGGAUGAAGCACCUCCAAGCUUGGACCUCCUGCAGAGACUUCUUUAGUUCUGGCCCCACUCAAAACUAGCAGCCUUAGGGCUAUUCGGUUGGGUUCUGCUUUGCUCAGCUAUGCAUCUGGCAUGGACUGGAUACCACGUCUGGCUCCAGCGGUGGAUCCUGCCUGGCUUAAACCAACCAGUAUAUCCCUUUCUGGCAAACGAAAAUAGGAUUCAAGAGUAGAAGCUGAUCCUCGAGGCUUGCAAAAGUGGGGUUCUUUCUGAAAGUGAAGCCAGCAGCCAAGAGCCAGCCUUCAGAAGAUAGAAGGAAGAGCAGCUGCAUGAGCGAUGGCCACAGCAACGCAUGGGUCCUGUCUGUCCACGUAGUCCUCUCCAUCUGCCCGUAGCUUGCCAGGUCUCCUACCCACACUGGGGAAAUUCCAGCUGCCAGCCCUCUUUGGGUUGCACCUCCCCUUUUUGCACAGGGCUCUAUUGGGAAAGCAGCUGUCAUGUGUCUAUUUGAAAGACAAGAAACCAGUCUAGUUAUAGAAAAGAGAUUUAGAUUACAUCAGAAUAACAAUGCAAAUCAUUUGUGCAGUUCUUAGUACAGAAAACAGAUUUAGGAACAAAAAUUGGGAGGGUUAAAGAAAGUGGUUUUUUAUUCUGUCAUCAAAAUUCUUUUUUAAAAACACGUCACAAAAAAACACAUCUGUAGUAAGAUAAAUAAUUGUGUGCCGACUUCAUAAACAGAAUGAAUGACUGAAUUCACACAAUGUUAUUUACUGUUUCAGGGCACACACACAUGGUUUCCAAGUGGUUUCUUGCCACUUUGGCCUUCAACUGGCCUUGCUAUUUUCCAUUGAGGGGUGUCUGAUUGUCUCCACCACAGCCCUGAGUCUAAGCAAAAGCCCAUGGGUUGGUUGACUGGUGUUCUUGUUGUCCUUGGAAGUGGACAGACUGGCAGAUGUGGGGCUAGUGGGGAAGAUUCUAGUAAACACUUUAUUUGUUGUAAGAACUCCAGUUGGAAUGUGGCUUCCAAUCAUGGGAGGAGGACUGCUUUAGAACAGGAAACUUUCAAUAAUAAUACCAAUACAACCAAAGACUAUUAUUCUGAACAGAAAACAAGAAAUACAGCUGGAGCUAUUUCCUAUCUACCUGAUGAAGGGCACUACCAGGCAGUCACUCUGGCUCUGUCCACUGAUGCCUGUGCCCACUUUGUGUGAUGUAGCUUCCAUGGAGACAAGAGCAAUGGUAAUGGAAGAAGAAAGUCUGGAUGUACUCGUGCAGAAGCAGAAAGCUUCACGGAACAAUAUUAAUCUUCUGGUCAUCUCUGUGCUGGUCUAGUUGCCCAUAAAGUUGUCAGAUUGACUUUGGAUUUAAAGCCUGAAAAUGAGUCCCAAGGAAAUCCGUUGACAUGAGGCCCAAGGAAGACAGUUUUUGGAAGGGGCAACGUAGGAAGGAUGGUUUGGUCACUGUGAGGAAGAGGAGGGUAGAAAAGCAUCAGGACAUCAGAAUCUUUAGGAAGUGGCUACUGAUAAUCAAGCAGAGCUUUCUCCCUGUGGGUCUCUAUCCAUUUAGCGGCUUCUUGUGCUAAGCAACUCAGUGACUGCCCUCUGCUCCAGAUGUGACCUUCAGCCUCCGCUGCUCCUUUCUGCUGGCAAUGCUCAGUGUAAUUUCAGCCACAGAGGAAAGGAGGUGAAGUGAACAUCAGUGGGAGCCUAAAAAGUUAAACAACAGACGUGUUUUCCCGGUGUAGAGAAAAGCUUGCUUCUCCACCCCCAGGACUUUGUGCCCUGCUCACCUGGAAGUUGAAUUCCUGUGCAACAUGAACUGCUGGCAGUGAAGCAUUCCAGAUGGAACCACCUAUAGUUUUGAGGCGUGUAGCCUUGCCCACAAAGACAGGGAAUUGGAGAGGAAAGAUGCAUAACCAGUGAAAACAAAGGAGGGACAGUUCUCUGCUCCACUGAAGCUAGGUAUGGCCAUGUGACCCAUGUUGCCAGUGAAACAGGAGGAGAAGGGACAUCUGGGUGGAAACAUUUAAGAGUCAAGUGUAUUUCUCCAUACUCUCUUUCUUUGGCUUUGGCAGUGAUGAAGGUACGUGUUGAGACGGAGAUGCCAUUAAACUGAAGCAGCUGAGAAUGCCCAGCCAACAUAUGGAGGACAGCUGCCCUGGAGAGCAUCCUGGGCCAGUGAUGACUCUGCUUGAGCAAGAAAUACACUUCUGUUUUUUACAUCCCUGAAAUCUUGGAAUUAUUUGUUACUGUAGCAACCUAUCUAAACUGACCAAUUCAAGAUGAAACUGAAUAUAUUGAGUUAACAUGGCUUAUUUAAUUUCUGAAAGGUUUCCAUGGGGCCAUGUAAUGCUAUUAUUCCCCCAACUUUUUCUUAACAUGCUCUUUUCCUCCUGCAGCACCCCGAAAAUCAAUAUUUUUGAAUAGUGUGACCAUAAUAUCAGAGUUAUUGAAUAACAAAUUUGUAGAGAGUCUGGAAUCAUGAAGGACAAGUUGUUCAAAAUCUCUUUUAAAUUGUUCUUUCAAUAAGGUCAAUCCAAUUACAGUUGAUUCUUGAACAACAGAGGUUUGAACUGUGUGGGUCAACCUAUAUGUGGAUUUUCUUCUGCCUCUGCCACCUCUGAGACAGCAAGACCAAUCCUUCCUUUUCCUCCUUCUCCUCAGCCUAUACAAUGUAAAAAUGACAAGGAUGAAGACCUUUAUGAUGAUUCACGUCCACUUAAUGAACAGUAAAUAUAUUUUCUCUUCCUUA